UGCGUGACAGAAUUCAUAAGAA
rnacentral:miRNA from 1 species